rnacentral:rRNA from 1 species
AACGUAGGGGGCGAGCGUUAUCCGGAAUCACUGGGCGUAAAGGGCGUCUAGGCGGUCGCUUAAGUCUCGUGUGAAAGCUCCCGGCUCAACUGGGAGAGGGCAUGGGAAACUGGGCAACUUGAGACUCGGAGGGGGGUGUGGAAUUCCCGGUGGAGUGGUGAAAUGCGUUGAGAUCGGGAGGAACACCUGUGGCGAAAGCGGCACCCUGGUCGAGGUCUGACGCUGAAGCGCGAAAGCGUGGGGAGCGAACGGG